AGUGAACGCUGGCGGUAGGCCUAACACAUGCAAGUCGAACGGCAGCACAGUAAGAGCUUGCUCUUACGGGUGGCGAGUGGCGGACGGGUGAGGAAUACAUCGGAAUCUACUUUUUCGUGGGGGAUAACGUAGGGAAACUUACGCUAAUACCGCAUACGACCUACGGGUGAAAGCAGGGGAUCUUCGGACCUUGCGCGAUUGAAUGAGCCGAUGUCGGAUUAGCUAGUUGGCGGGGUAAAGGUCCACCAAGGCGACGAUCCGUAGCUGGUCUGAGAGGAUGAUCAGCCACACUGGAACUGAGACACGGUCCAGACUCCUACGGGAGGCAGCAGUGGGGAAUAUUGGACAAUGGGCGCAAGCCUGAUCCAGCCAUACCGCGUGGGUGAAGAAGGUCUUCGGGUUGUAAAGCCCUUUUGUUGGGAAAGAAAAGCAGCAGGUUAAUACCCCGCUGUUCUGACGGUACCCAAAGAAUAAGCACCGGCUAACUUCGUG
rnacentral:rRNA from 1 species